ensembl:snRNA U6 U6 spliceosomal RNA
GUGCUUGCUUCGGCAGCACAUAUACUAAAACUGGAACAAUACAGAGAAGAUUAGCAUGGCAAUUAUGCAAGGCUGACAUGCAAAUUCGUGAAGCGUUCCGUAUUUUG